rnacentral:tRNA from 1 species
AAACUUAGGUUAAUACAAACCGGGGGCCUUCAAAACCCCAAAUAUGGAAUCAGCCCCUUAG